AAAAUCAAAAAAACUGACCCAGCAAUGCCGCGUGAGUGAAGAAGGCCUUAGGGUUGUAAAGCUCUUUCGGCGGGGACGAUGAUGACGGUACCCGCAGAAGAAGCCCCGGCUAACUUCGUGCCAGCAGCCGCGGUAAUACGAAGGGGGCUAGCGUUGUUCGGAAUCACUGGGCGUAAAGGGCGCGUAGGCGGCGCGACAAGUCAGGCGUGAAAGCCCCGGGCUCAACCCGGGAAUUGCGCUUGAUACUGUCGUGCUUGAGGCCGGGAGAGGAUGGCGGAAUUCCCAGUGUAGAGGUGAAAUUCGUAGAUAUUGGGAAGGACACCGGUGGCGAAGGCGGCCAUCUGGACCGGUUCUGACGCUGAGGCGCGAAAAGUGGGGAGCAAACAAGAUUAGAUACCCUGGUAGUCCACGCCGUAAACGAUGAGUGAAACACAAAGGAAGGGACACCCUCCGGUGUCGCAGCUAACGCUUUAAGCACUCCGCCUGGGGAGUACGGUCGC
rnacentral:rRNA from 1 species